UACGGGGGGGCAAGCGUUGUUCGGAAUUACUGGGCGUAAAGGGUUCGUAGGUUGCCAACUCAGUCAGACGUGAAAUCCCUCAGCUCAACUGGGGAACUGCGUCUGAUACUAGAUGGCUCGAGUGCAGGAGAGGAACGCGGAAUUCCAGGUGUAGCGGUGAAAUGCGUAGAUAUCUGGAGGAACACCGGUGGCGAAGGCGGCGUUCUGGACUGCAACUGACACUGAGGAACGAAAGCCAGGGGAGCAAACGGG
rnacentral:rRNA from 1 species